CCCUUAAGACAUAUCACCCUGCAGCCCAAGACCGGUUACUCACUGAAGCAAAGCUGGGCUGAGCCUGGUCAGUAUCUGGGUGGGAAACCACAUGGGAACACUAGGUUGCUGUUGGAA
ensembl:rRNA 5S_rRNA 5S ribosomal RNA